CACAGAUCCUGAACGUUGAGCUGAUUAUACUAACUAGAUGGGACUUAGUUUUGUCUACCGUGGGGUGAGCGUAUACUACCUGAGGGAACAGGUUCUCUAUGGUGAAGAUGGCAACUUGCUGACUCAGUCUCAGAAUGCGUUAAAUCCACAUAUUCUGAAGUCCUCAGCAGAGUGAAACUUCAUAUAUAAUAUUUUCUACAGACAAAGUUACCAUCAAUAUCAACAGCAACAACACGGCAACAGCCAACAUUUACAGAACUUUUAUUAAGUUCCAGUCACCGUAUGUGCCUGCUUCCCCUUUGCCUUCCACCAUCAUUAUAAGUUUCCUGAGGCCACCACUGCCAUGCUUCCUGUACAGACUGUGGGACUCCAUGUAAGAUGUUCCUGCUUCCCCUUUGCCUUCUACCAUGAUUGUAACUUUCCUGAGGCCUUCCCAGCCAUGCUUCUUGUACAACCUGCAGAACUGUGAGUCAAUUAAACCUGUUUUCUUUAUAAAUU
ensembl:lncRNA PCDH10-DT PCDH10 divergent transcript